AUUGAACGCUGGCGGCAGGCCUAACACAUGCAAGUCGAGCGGAUGAAGGGAGCUUGCUCCUGGAUUCAGCGGCGGACGGGUGAGUAAUGCCUAUGAAUCUGCCUGGUAGUGGGGGAUAACGUCCGGAAACGGGCGCUAAUACCGCAUGCGUCCUGAGGGAGAAAGUGGGGGAUCUUCGGACCUCACGCUAUCAGAUGAGCCUAGGUCGGAUUAGCUAGUUGGUGGGGUGAAGGCCUACCAAGGCGACGAUCCGUAACUGGUCUGAGAGGAUGAUCAGUCACACUGGAUCUGAGAAACGGUACAGACUUCUACGGGAGGCCGCAGCGGGGAAUAUUGCAGAAGGGGCGAAAGCGUGAUCCAGCCAUGCCGGGUGUGUGAAGAAGGUCUUCGGAUUGUAAAGCACUUUAAGUUGGGAGGAAGGACAGUAAUUUCAUCCCUUGCUGUAUUGACGUUACCAACAGAAGAAGCACCGGCUAACUUCGUG
rnacentral:rRNA from 1 species